UUCCGGGGCUCUCUGUCCUAUUGGUGGGGUUGCCUGCGCACCGUUCUACAUAUUACCACCAGUAGGCGACAGGUUUCGGAUGGAGUGCGGUGACGUCAUUAUUUUCCCCAGCUGUUCCCGAUCACCUUCAUCAGCGGAGCAGACAAAAGGAGUGGGCCGUCAGUCCAACGUCGCCUGAGUGUUGUGCCAGUCACGGUACCUCUGAGCCCCCCUUGAGCUUGUCUCAGUGUUCCUUGUUGCCUAAUUCUUCUAGUGAAUCUUUUUGUUCUUCUCCGUUGCCUUCAGGUUGCCCGAGUUUCCAGAUUCGCCUCUCUGCUGUUUGCAAAUCUCCUCUGGACUCCACGGCUGGCGGCCUUUCCACUCCUCCGUGUCUCCGUUUCACCCGAGCCUACCUGUCCGCUCCCCGCCGCACUCCUCCGUUAUCCCUGGAUCCAUUAGGGACCGAGACCCCGGACAAACUCAGUUUCCCUCCACAACUCCGCUCCAACAACGACAAUGAACCGCUGCUGCCGUUACUGUUUAUUCCCCUGGACCAGACCACUCCGACUCACUCUCUUUGAUUAUUGUGUGAUCCUUAAUAAAUCAUUUUAAACUGAUUUCACUUCUCCUGUGGUUGUGUUCUGCAUUUGGGCUAAUAUUCAACCCAACAUGACAGAACAC